AGUGAACGCUGGCGGUAGGCCUAACACAUGCAAGUCGAACGGCAGCACAGUAAGAGCUUGCUCUUACGGGUGGCGAGUGGCGGACGGGUGAGGAAUACAUCGGAAUCUACUUUUUCGUGGGGGAUAACGUAGGGAAACUUACGCUAAUACCGCAUACGACCUACGGGUGAAAGCAGGGGAUCUUCGGACCUUGCGCGAUUGAAUGAGCCGAUGUCGGAUUAGCUAGUUGGCGGGGUAAAGGCCCACCAAGGCGACGAUCCGUAGCUGGUCUGAGAGGAUGAUCAGCCACACUGGAACUGAGACACGGUCCAGACUCCUACGGGAGGCAACAGUGGGGAAUAUUGGACGAUGGGCGCAAGCCUGAUCCAGCCAUACCGCGUGAGUGAAGAAGGCCUUCGGGUUGGAAAGCCCUGUUGUUGGGAAAGAAGAGCAGCAGGUUGAUACCCCGCUGUACUGACGGUACCCAAAGAAUAAGCACCGGCUAACUUCGUG
rnacentral:rRNA from 1 species